CGAGGGGGGCAAGUGUUGUUCGGAAUCACUGGGCGUAAAGGGAGCGUAGGCGGAUGCUUAAGUUGGAUGUUUAAAACCGGGGCCUAACCUCGGAGCGGCGUCCAAAACUGGGCAUCUUGAAUAGGUCAGAGGCUGGUGGAAUUGGAGGUGUAGCGGUGGAAUGCGUAGAGAUCUCCAAGAACACCUAUUGCGAAGGCAGCCAGCUGGGACCAUAUUGACGCUGAGGCUCGAAAGCAUGGGGAGCAAACAGGAUUAGAUACCCUGGUAGUCCAUGCCGUAAACGAUGAACACUAGGUUUUGGGCUCGUCAACGGUCCAGAGCCGCAGCUAACGCGUUAAGUGUUCCGCCUGGGGAAUACGGUCGCAAGACUG
rnacentral:rRNA from 1 species